GACGAACGCUGGCGGCGUGCUUAACACAUGCAAGUCGAACGGAAAGGCCCUUCGGGGUCCUCGAGUGUCGAACGGGUGAGUAACACGGGGGUGAUCUGCCCUGCACUUUGGGAUAAGCCUGUGAAACUGGGUCUAAUACCGAAUAGGACCACGCGCUUCAGGGUGUGUGGUGGAAAGCGUUUGCGGUGUGGGCUGGGUCCGCGGCCUAUCAGCUCGUUGGUGGGGUAAUGGCCGACCAAGGCGACGACGGGUAGCCGGCCUGAGAGGGGGACCGGCCACACUGGGCCUGAGAUACGGCCCAGACUCCUACGGGAGGCAGCAGUGGGGAAUAUUGCACAAUGGGCGCAAGCCUGAUGCAGCGACGCCGCGUGCGGGAUGACGGCCUUCGGGUUGUAAACCUCUUUCAAUAGGGACGAAGCGAAAGUGACGGUACCUAUAGAAGAAGCCCCGGCCAACUACGUG
rnacentral:rRNA from 1 species